rnacentral:rRNA from 1 species
UACGUAGGGGGCAAGCGUUGUCCGGAUUUAUUGGGCGUAAAGAGCGUGUAGGCGGCCAGCCAGGUCCGUUGUGAAAACUCGAGGCUCAACCUCGAGACGCCGAUGGAAACCGUCUGGCUAGAGUCCGGAAGAGGAGAGUGGAAUUCCUGGUGUAGCGGUGAAAUGCGCAGAUAUCAGGAAGAACACCCGUGGCUAAGGCGGCUCUCUAGUACGGUACUGACGCUGAGACGCGAAAGCGUGGGGAGCGAACAGG